CCCACAACAAACCGCCGAUACCUCUCCUCACCCCCGGGCGGCCGCCCCCAGUCUCCUUCAGCCCAUCCAUGGCGGCGGCGAGCCAGAGCGACGCGCCUCGGCGGGAGCCCGGCCAGCGCCGUUCCAUGUGUGGCGUCCGCACGAAGCCCCUCCGCCUCUGCCUCUGCGGCCGCCUCCGCUCCCCGCCGGUGGACACCGCCGUCGGCGUCACCGUGCUGCAGCACGCGAUGGAGGCCCACCACCCGCUCAACUCCACCCGCGUCGCGCGCCUCGGCCUCCGCAACCUCGCCGUCGUCCAGCCUCCAGGUCACCGACGUCAACCAGCCCACUUCAUCCUCACCGCGCUCGAAGCCGGCGGCGCCACGGCGUCGGGUCCUGGAGGCGGUCCUGUAACCGCCCGUUCCGGAAAUCUUGCAUUUCGUCGUGAUGGGGCUUGUGGGAAAUCAGAUGGAGAAGUUGGUGCGAGCUGCGAUUUUGAGGAGCCGUGGUUGAAUCCCUCUGGUAAUUUUGGAUUCGAGAAGAUGAAGAGUGAUGGACAACCUGCAGAUCUUGAAAGGCCUAGUUCUGCAACCAAUCAGAUAGGGAACUCUGGUGUUGGUUCCGUCAAUGGUGAAACCAACCGUCGAAGUGAGGUGGGGAUGAAAUCUAAGGUAAAUGGUAAUUUGUACAUCCUGCAGUAGCAAAUGGCUCAGAAGUUCAUAGGAUGUUCAAUGAUUGCAAUGCUAUAGGUGGAGAAAAAAUUGAAGUUGGUGCUGAUAUUGGGCAAGAUUGGACCAGGAAAAGCAUGGAUAAGUGCACUAUUGCAUUCACGAACAAGGAACUAAGGAUUGAUAUUGAGCGUGGUGUGAAACCAAAAAUCAGAUGGUUAUCAAGAGGCCCGCUUGGUGAAGCAGUUGUCUCAAAUGGUUUUGUUGUGACAAAAGUACAAAAGAAGAAAUGUAAACUCACUGGCGAAGUAACAGAGUUUGAGGAGUUCUCAAUCACCAUACCGCCAAAAUCAGCUCUGCUAUUUCCGUGCAAGCGGGCAAUCAGCAUUGAUGCUUCAGGUUGUCAGGUACAGCAUUUGAUUGUGUUGGAUGGCACUUGGGCAAAGGCACAAAGGAUGUACCAUGAGAAUCCAUGGUUACAACUUCUGCCACAUGUGAAGCUGGAGUCAGAUAGGGUUAGUUUGUAUAGUGAGGUGAGGCAUGAGCCAAGGGCUGGGUGCUUGUCUACUAUUGAGAGCAUAAUUGUUGCCAUGUGGAAACUGGGAGAGGAUUCAAAGGGAUUGGAUGAUCUCCUGGAUGUUUUCGAGUCAAUGAUUGCUGAUCAGCGGCGAUGCAAGGAUGAGAAUGUGAAGCAAAAGCUGAAGUCCUAACCGUAAAAACAGGUCCUAUCAUUAGCCUGUUGUCUAACUUCCUGGUGACCUCUGGAUGCAUUUUUCAGUCCAGAUGGUAUAUAUUUGUUACUUCAUACUGAGAGCCUUUUAUUGCAAAAAAAUCAUAGGAGAUGUUUUUUUUUAUCUAAGCUUUGUCUCCAUUUCCUGGAUACUAGUGUCAGGGCAGAGCAUAUCGUUGUAGGUUUAACCUUAUCUAUGCUCCGAUGUAACUCUUUUUUCAUUACUGCUAAGCUGGCAUGCUCAACUACUUUGUAUUAGAAUUGGACCUAUGGUACUCUUUUGAAUGGGAUGAUGAUUCAUCAUACAUACA